UACGGGGGGGGGCAAGCGUUGUUCGGAAUUACUGGGGCGUAAAGGGCGCGUAGGCGGUUUGCUAAGUUGGAUGUGAAAACUCUGGGCUUAACCCAGAGCCUGCAUCCAAAACUGGCAAACUUGAGUACUGGAGGGGAAAGCGGAAUUCCCUGGUGGUAGCGGUGAAAUGCGUAGAUAUCAGGAGGAACACCGGUGGCGAAGGCGGCUUCUGGACAGUGAACUGACGCUGAGGCGCGAAAGCCGUAGGGGAGCAAACAGG
rnacentral:rRNA from 1 species